rnacentral:rRNA from 1 species
UCAGGCCUAACACAUGCAAGUCGAGCGAGGUAGCAAUACCUAGCGGCGGACGGGUGAGUAACGCGUGGGAACGUGCCCUUUGCUUCGGAAUAGCCCUGGGAAACUGGGAGUAAUACCGAAUGUGCCCUACGGGGGAAAGAUUUAUCGGCAAAGGAUCGGCCCGCGUUGGAUUAGGUAGUUGGUGGGGUAAUGGCCUACCAAGCCGACGAUCCAUAGCUGGUUUGAGAGGAUGAUCAGCCACACUGGGACUGAGACACGGCCCAGACUCCUACGGGAGGCAGCAGUGGGGAAUCUUAGACAAUGGGCGCAAGCCUGAUCUAGCCAUGCCGCGGAGAGAAGGAGGCCUUAGGGUUGUAAAGCUCUUUCGGGGGGAAG